AUAACUAUACUUUCUAAGGUAACAAUUUAUCUUAUCUUUCUUUGCUUUCAAGGGCCAAAUUGAAAGUCAUUAGCCUGUUAUAAUAUUCCCUUACAACAUCUACAUCCCUCGUCAGCAGUUCUUAGCGUUGGAUUGAGACAUCUAUAAUCUCCUACAUAUCCUUUCUUGUCUGCAAAUAAGUAUUUUCUAGAACUUUUUUUUGGAACUUAUCUUCAGUGAUUAGUGCUUGGACUUUUCAUCAAAUUCACUCAGAGAAAAGGAAAGCGAAGUUGAAGAGCUAGUUGUCUCCGUCUUGAUUUUGGGUCUUCUAUUAGUUUCUCUCUCCUCUUGACUAGUCCUCCUCUAUAAACACGACAGUGAUCGGUGACGCGGGACUUAGAAGAAUCCAUGGCAUAUCUCCUUCACGUGAACGAAAAUUGAUCUCGAGACUCGGAUUCAACGAUUAUACCUCUGAGAUCAAGUAAAAUACCACCAACCUCAAAUUCUUUUAGUCAUAAAUUCAAAUUCAUACCUCAGGUUGAUACCGCUCGUCCUCUCUUUCAUUGUUUCUCUCUAGAUUUCUUUCAUCUUUAUUCUAUUUAUAUGUCAAAUUCAAGAGGGCCUCAGUUUGAGGGGGAUUGCUUCAAAUAAAAUAAUUUCAUUUUAUGUUUAGUUUGAAUAUUUUUAUUUAUUGGGAUUAUGUUUUGUAAAAAGAUGCAAGUCGUGAUAUAAGACUUCGGGCUUGAGGGGAGUGUUACAGUAUUCUAAACGAAUAGAAAUAGUUUGAUUCGCAUAAUCUUAGGAUUGAUUUGAUUAACAUAAUUAGCGGUGUUAGGAUUAUUCUAGACGCAUCAUCAGUGGUAAUCAUUGAUAUUAUUGAUUGUUUUCCUUUCUAAGGUAACAAUAUAUCCCAUAUUUCUUUGCUUUCAAGGCCAAUUUGAAAAUCAUUAGCUUGUUGUAAUAUCCCCUUACAACAUCUACCUCCCUUGUCAGCAGUUCUUUGCAUUGGGUUGUACAUCUAAUCUCCAACCAAUCCUUACUGCAAGAUGGUCUUUUCAAGCACCAUUUUUGGAACUUUUCUACAGUGAUUGGUGUUUGGACUUUUCAUCAGAUUCACUCAGAGAAAAACAAAGCGGAGUCGAAUGGCUAGUUGUCUCGGUCUUGAAUUUGGAUCUUCUAUCAGUUUAUUUCUCCUCUUAAAUGGUUAUCCUCAUCUGUAAACACAACAAUCUGGUGACACAGUGGACUUUGGAAGAAUUCAUGGCAGAUCUCCUUCUAGCACCCCACAUGAACGAAAAUUGAUCUUAAGACUCAGGAUUCGCCUACCUCAAAUUCUUUUUUAGUUGCAAAAUCAAAUUCAUACAUUGAUACCGCUCUUGCUCUCUUUCAUUGUUUCUCUAUCUAAAUUUCUUUGAUGCUUUUUAUUAUUAUUAUUCGUGCAAUUUGAAGAGAGCCUCAAUUUUGAGGGAGUUGUUGGGAAUAAAUAAUUUUGUUUGAAUCUUUUUAUUUUGGGGAUUAUAUUUUGUAACAAGUUGUAAGUCGUGAUAUAAGACUUCUAGCUUGAGGGGUAGUGUUAAGAGUAUCCUAUAGGAAUAUAAAAUUAGUUUGAUUAGCAUAAUCUUAAGAUUGACUUGAGUUACAUAAUUAGUGGUGUUUGGAUUAUUCUAGAUGCAUGCAAUGUCACUGGUAAUCAUUAAUAUUCUUGAUUGAUUUCUUUUUCAAGGUAGCAAUUUAUCCCAUCUUUCUUUGCUUUAAAGGCCAAAUUAAAAAUCAUUAGCUUGUUGUAAUAUCCCCGUGCGACAUUUACCUACCUUGUCAAUAGUUCUUUACAUUGGAUUAUACAUCUAUAAUCUUCAACCAAUCAUUUCUUCUUUGCAAGAUAGGUCUUUUCGAGCACCUUUUUUGACCUUGUCUUCAGUGAUUGGUGCUUGUACUUUUCAUCCGUCACUCGGAGAAAAAGAAAGCGGAAUCGAAGGGCAAGUCAUCUCCGUCUUGACUUUGGGUAUUCUAUCAGUUUAUCAAUCCUCUUAACUAGUCCCGUAUUCUAUCAGUUUAUCUUGCCUCUUGACUAGUUCUCCUUUAUAAACGCGGUGGUGACUAGUGAUGUGAUGGACUUUUAGUAGAAUCCAUUGUAGUUAUCCUUCUUCUAACACCCCACAUGAACAAAAUUUGAUCUUGAGACUCAAAUUCAACGAUUAUAUUUCCAAAAUCGAGUAAAAUAUAGUCUAUCAUAAAUUCUUUUUUAAUCGCAAAAUCAAAUUCAUACCUUUCACUGAAACCGUUCGUGUUUUCUUUCAUUGUUUCUCUCUCCAGAUUUCCUUUAUUCCUUUUUUUUUAGUUUGGACAAAUUGAAAAGGAACUCAAUUUGAGGGGGAGUGUUGGAGAUAAAAUAAUUUCACUAUAUGUUACAUUUAAAUCUUUGAAUUUUUGGAUUAUGUUUUGUAACAAACUGUAAGCCAUGAUAUAAGACAUCCAGCUCGAGGAGAAAUGUGUAUUUUCCUCUAGAAUUAGUUUGAUUCGGAUAAUCUUGCAUUGAUUUGAUUGACAUAAUUAGUCGUGUUAAGAUUAUACUAGAUGCAUGGUCAGUGGUAAUCAUUGACAUCACUAAUUGAUUUCUUUUCCAUGUUUAGCUUUAAAUUUUAGUUGCUUUCCCUUGUAACAGUCUUUUAGCUCUCAUAAAUUACAUUAAUUUUGUAUGCAAGAAAUAAAUAUCCAGAAAAAAAAAACACACACACACACACUUACACUUGUGCCUUGCACUUGCACGGGAUUUUUAAGCAGUUAGCCUAAUGUACCAAUUAUUAACUUAAGGAUCCUCUAGAUUAGUUCCAAACAGAGCUUAGUUCCGACACUUUCAAAUAGGCCACUCUCUCGUACCAUUUGUUAUGAUCGAUCCCCAAAUGAACCUGGUCCACUAGUACAAAAACCCCAGGGUCAACUGAGCCUACCACUAGUGCACCCACCUAAAAUCUUGCGUGGAAGACAACACUGAGACAAGUAAUACAUUAUUAUCAAAAGAGGGAAGUAAAAACAUUAUUAUCAAAAGAGGCAAGUAAUUACAUUAUUAUCAAAAGAUGAAAGUAAACCACCAUAAUAUAUUUUGGGGAGCACUCUUUACACAAUCUAUUUGUGCUAGCUCCACAAGUUUUCUUUCACAUAAAAAUGGGUGGGACCCACCUCACUCACAUGUGAGAGGAAGAGUUGUGAAAUUUUCAAAAAUGUAUAUCUAUAGAGACUUGUGGAAACCCUAUAUUUUCAACAAAAAAUAAUAUUUUGCAGCCAUGGAUAAAUAUUUAAAUCUGCAACAGUAGACAAAAUGAAAGCAAGUAAAUGACCAUGAAUACCAACGAGCAAGGUUUUUAAAACCGAACCGGUCAUCGAACCGGAAAAGUUACCGGGUGGAUGAAUCACUGGUCCAACCAGUGGUCGGAUCGUUAUUGACCCAGUGACGUCAUU
rnacentral:lncRNA from 1 species